GAUGAAGAACGUAGCGAAAUGCGAUAAGUAAUGUGAAUUGCAGAAUUCAGUGAAUCAUCGAAUCUUUGAACGCACAUUGCGCCCGCCAGUAUUCUGGCGGGCAUGCCUGUCUGAGCGUCAUUUCAACCCUCAUGCCCCUAGGGCGUGGUGUUGGGGAUCGGCCAAAGCCCGCGAGGGACGGCCGGCCCCUAAAUCUAGUGGCGGACCCGUCGUGGCCUCCUCUGCGAAGUAGUGAUAUUCCGCAUCGGAGAGCGAUGAGACCCUGCCGUUAAACCCCCAACUUUCCAAGGUUGACCUCAGAUCAGGUAGGAAUACCCGCUGAACUUAAGCAUAUCAAUAAGCGGAGGA
rnacentral:misc_RNA from 1 species